GAGAAACCCUAAUCAGCAAUUGGUUGCAUUAGAAACGCAUUUCUUGAAAUUCCGCAAAAUACGCUUCAUGUAAAAGAAGGCUUUUAAAAUGGCGUAACGUAUUUUAGAAGGUUUAGAAGUUACUAAAAUACGCAAAUUAUGCUACGCAAGUUACGCCCCAUGUGACGGCACCCUAAAGAUCGAGUAAAAUGGAUAGAAAAUCAUCGAGAAAAAGUUCUAGAUGUCAAGGAGCACCUGCACGAAAAAGAUCGUUUCGAGGAAAUCAACAUAUUGCCGAAAAAGACACCGAUUUUAUUAGUACUUCAGCCAAGAAACUAAAACAGGCUGGCAAUUUUGAAGCAAAUGUUGAUCCUACUUUUAGCAUUACUGCAUUAUAAGUUUUACUUUGAUUUUUUCAACAUUACAAAACUUAUUAAAGUGUAAAAAGUGUGAUGGUGACAUUCAAUUUUUAAAAAAAGCACAGCGAGGAUUGGGUUUUCAACUUUGUGUGAAGUGUCCUUGUCAAGAAGUUUUAAUUAAUUCUAACCCUUUAGUUACAAAUGCAUUUGAAAUUAAUAUUAGAAAUAAAAUAUUAGAAAUUGCCACACUUAAUUACGGCAGCAUGCAUCUUUAAUGAAAAUUUUAAACCUUCAAUUAAAAUAAUGGAACUUAUGGGUGUGACAAUCGGUCCGCAAGCUAUAAAUUUCAUGGAGACGCACGAUGAAGCGCGCAUAACAAAGGCGGAGUGUUGUAGCACUGCGGCUUCAAAAGAGGCCAGAGCAGCUUUGAGGGCGGCUAGGGCAGAAGAAAACGAUGACUUUGAGGAAGCUGAAGGCCUAUUGUAUGGAGCAGGCAUAGCCGAUUAGUAUGACAGUGUGAGCUGAAAUCACUUGCACCGCUGACAAUGCUUUUUUUUAAGGCACCAUCUUUGACUUCAGAAAGCAUACACAAAAUAUUAAUAAAUUAUGACCAAAAAAUUUUUUUAUAAGCUACAAGAUGCAAGUAAUAACAUAUAAAAAGAUUAAAAAGA